rnacentral:rRNA from 1 species
UACGUAGGGGGCAAGCGUUGUCCGGAUUUAUUGGGCGUAAAGCGCGUGUAGGCGGCUCGGUAAGUCUGCUGUGAAAGUCCAGGGCUCAACCCUGGGAUGCCGGUGGAUACUGUCGAGCUCGAGUCCGGAAGAGGCGAGUGGAAUUCCUGGUGUAGCGGUGAAAUGCGCAGAUAUCAGGAGGAACACCCAUGGCGAAGGCAGCUCGCUGGGACGUGACUGACGCUGAGACGCGAAAGCGUGGGGAGCAAACAGG